rnacentral:rRNA from 1 species
AAUGGAGGAAACUCUGAUGCAGCGAUGCCGCGUGAGUGAAGAAGGCCUUUGGGUUGUAAAGCUCUUUCGCCGGGGAAGAAAAUGACUGUACCCGAAUAAGAAGGUCCGGCUAACUUCGUGCCAGCAGCCGCGGUAAUACGAAGGGACCUAGCGUAGUUCGGAAUUACUGGGCUUAAAGAGUUCGUAGGUGGUUAAAAAAGUUAGUGGUGAAAUCCCAGAGCUUAACUCUGGAACUGCCAUUAAAACUUUUUAGCUAGAGUAUGAUAGAGGAAAGCAGAAUUUCUAGUGUAGAGGUGAAAUUCGUAGAUAUUAGAAAGAAUACCAAUUGCGAAGGCAGCUUUCUGGAUCAUUACUGACACUGAGGAACGAAAGCAUGGGUAGCGAAGAGGAUU